ensembl:antisense Gm15520 uncharacterized LOC110301522
AUAGAUGCCCAGCACAGGAGGUGACUGGUUUGUUUCUGUUCCUGGGAUGAUGAUGUGUUUCUGACUAUUCCCACAUUUCUCUUCACAUUGCUUCUAUGGUCAUCAGAGGAGAGGACCAAGUGCUGGACAAUGUUAGUUACCUACUUCUGAUGCUGCAGUCAUAAUUACAGAUGAACUGUCAGUGUGACAUCUUCCAAAACAAAGGGUUGGAUGAGUGGAAGAACUGCAGCAAGAUCCGAUUGUGCAACAAGCUGGAGUCUCUGGGUGUGGCAGGAGAAGAUCAUCUCAGCCGGUGGUUUCUGAGAGCUAAAUGUACUUACUCAGAUGUAUGGGAAUCCACCUUUGCCCUUGAGAAACUAUGCACAGAUAUGGGGUAUGGACAGCAAAGAGAAGCAUGGUCCUCUCCUCUCUGUCAGCAACAGUCAUUCUGUCAGCUCAGAGUCGGGUGAAAAUCCACCAUAGCAGUGUGGUAGCAGUUGUAGCAGCUUACAAGAACUUGUUCAUAAUGGAUCUGAAAUCAGGGAGCACAGGAGGGACUCUAAAGGUCCCUUUUAAUAAAUGUUAUAUGAGAGUCACAAACACUAUGUUUGACAGGCUGUGCCUCAGUCCUGAUGUGGCUGCAUGUCUCAGGCUGAUGUUUCAAUAAGAAUGACUUCAUCUUCCCGUGGCAAGUCUGAGAAGAAUGUUACAUCUAUCCCACAGGACCAUCAGAAGAAUCCCAGGCAGCUCAUGGGAAAAACGCACAAGAGAUUCAACAGCCCUAGCAGGAUGACCUGAUGACCCCAAGUCUACCUUCAAGCUUCUGAGGUGAGUAUUAUGUUUAAGCAGAGGAAGAAGAGUGGCAGGGUGUAACAGCGGAGAAAACACACUACGAUUCAAUGUCCAGCAGAGGAAUGCCCCCAGUAAGAAUCUUGGAAGAAGAAAACCAAUAUCAGCUAGAAAGUCUAAGUAAGGCUCAGGGUGAGCUGAGGUCUUAGGAAUGUGAUAAAUACAUACAGAAUGAGGCCUGUAUGUGUUGUUGUCUUGGCAUUGAAACAAACUAGAGUAAAGACUCUGGACACGGCACUGCUUGGCUCUGUCUGCAACCUCCACUUUUAUCACUUUGUGGCUACAUGCCACUUUCAGGAGGGAAUUCUGCGUUUGGCUCUGCAGCUUUUCUCUUAUGUCACAAGUCUGUGUGCUUUCAGGGACCACUUCAAAUGCUCACA